AGAGUUUGAUCAUGGCUCAGGACGAACGCUGGCGGCGUGCUUAACACAUGCAAGUCGAACGGAAAGGCCCUUCGGGGUACUCGAGUGGCGAACGGGUGAGUAACACGUGGGUGAUCUGCCCUGCACUUUGGGAUAAGCCUGGGAAACUGGGUCUAAUACCGAAUAUGACCAUGCGCCUCCUGGUGUGUGGUGGAAAGCUUUUGCGGUGUGGGAUGGGCCCGCGGCCUAUCGGCUUGUUGGUGGGGUAAUGGCCUACCAAGGCGACGACGGGUAGCCGGCCUGAGAGGGUGACCGGCCACACUGGGACUGAGAUACGGCCCAGACUCCUACGGGAGGCAGCAGUGGGGAAUAUUGCACAAUGGGCGCAAGCCUGAUGCAGCGACGCCGCGUGAGGGAUGACGGCCUUCGGGUUGUAAACCUCUUUCAGCACAGACGAAGCGCAAGUGACGGUAUGUGCAGAAGAAGGACCGGCCAACUACGUGCCAGCAGCCGCGGUAAUACGUAGGGUCCGAGCGUUGUCCGGAAUUACUGGGCGUAAAGAGCUCGUAGGUGGCUUGUCGCGUUGUUCGUGAAAACUCACAGCUUAACUGUGGGCGUGCGGGCGAUACGGGCAGACUUGAGUACUGCAGGGGAGACUGGAAUUCCUGGUGUAGCGGUGGAAUGCGCAGAUAUCAGGAGGAACACCGGUGGCGAAGGCGGGUCUCUGGGCAGUAACUGACGCUGAGGAGCGAAAGCGUGGGGAGCGAACAGGAUUAGAUACCCUGGUAGUCC
rnacentral:rRNA from 1 species